UUGUCCAUUCCUUACCGUGACCCACAGAGAGUAGCCAUGUCUUCUGGAGAAGUCCCUAUAGUAGACCCUGAUGCUGACUUUUCUUAUGACUAUGAGAAUCUGCGCAUUGGAGGCCUGAUCUUUGCUGGGGUCAUUGUGGUACUAUCGGUCCUCCUCCUGACAGGUAACCGCAUCAAACGGUGUGGCAAGCGUAAGGUGAAGCAUGUGGAUGAAGAAAUUUAAGAUGGCUCAUGUCUAUACUGGAU